rnacentral:rRNA from 1 species
UACGAAGGGGGCAAGCGUUGUUCGGAUUCAUUGGGCGUAAAGGGCGCGUAGGCUGCGGGGCAGGUCGGGUGUGAAAUCUCAGAGCUCAACUCUGAAACUGCACUCGAUACUGCUUUGCUUGAGGACUGGAGAGGAGAUUGGAAUUCACGGUGUAGCAGUGAAAUGCGUAGAUAUCGUGAGGAAGACCAGUGGCGAAGGCGGAUCUCUGGACAGUUCCUGACGCUGAGGCGCGAAGGCCAGGGGAGCAAACGGG